rnacentral:rRNA from 1 species
GACGUAGGGCGCGAGCGUUGUCCGGAUUUAUUGGGCGUAAAGGGCUCGUAGGCGGCUUGUCGCGUCGGGAGUGAAAAUCCAGGGCUUAACUCUGGACUGGCUUUCGAUACGGGCAGACUAGAGGUAUGCAGGGGAGAACGGAAUUCCUGGUGUAGCGGUGAAAUGCGCAGAUAUCAGGAGGAACACCGGUGGCGAAGGCGGUUCUCUGGGCAUUACCUGACGCUGAGGAGCGAAAGUGUGGGGAGCGAACAGG